CUCCAGCUACAUUGACGAACACGAUGAAGACGACGACGACGACGACAGUUUCAACCUCUGUCUCUCUCUCUCCGGCCCCGGCUCCGACUUCCGACCCGGGACUGCGUUUUCAAAGUCGUCCGCGUAACCGUUCCGUUCUCUCUCCACUCGGCGGCACUCGCUCCCCACACUCGGCCGACCGACGACGACGGCGACGACGACGACGACGUUCAUUUGGCUCGCGUGUGCCGUACCGGUCCCGGUGCGGCGGCGAUGGUCCUCGACGAGGACUUCUCGUCACACUCUGUGCCCACUGCCGGUUCGGACCAUCACAGUCUGCAGGACCCCAAGAUCGACACAGCCGUUUCGUUCGUCAAACGAGAAUAUAAGAGAGGAAGCUUCGCAGGGAGGAGGCGUUUUGCAGUACGAGGUCAUCUCUACAAUAUUGUGCGUAAUAUUUUAUACCAUGAUGGUGCACGUACAUCCAAUAAAAUAUCUCGUCGGCAAGGAUGCUGGAUGGACCGCAAAACAACGUGACUGUAUACAAAACACGACAUUCGCAUACACCUCGAGGUACAUCAUAUUAUCAUAUAGGUACCUAUACUAUUCGUCUGUAGUACUUUAUUAUAAUAAUAUAUGCGUAUACCGCUAACUAUCGCGUAUUCCCUCUGAUCCAAUUUACCUAUACUGUGUGUGUGUGUUGUUAUAAACAUGUAUUACACAUAUAUAUAUAUUACAUACUAUAUAAUAUUAUAUGUAAUAUAUAUGUGUGGGUGUAUGUGUGAAAUAUGCGGCAGUGGUCACGUAUAACGUUGUUCGCCGUUACACUAUUAUUAAUCCAGAUAGAUACACACACAGAGAGAGAGAGAGAUAGAGAGAAAGAUACACAUUUAUACGACUAUAUGGGUACCUACACAUAAUGUGUAUAAGUUUAUUGUAUAAUAUGUACCUAUACUGCAAUAAUUGUAUUCGCGUGCGCGACUUUGCAGAGUGUUGAAUGUAAUACGUACCCUAUUUACGUAUAACACUGUAACACGCUCUGUACACGCAUUGGUAGGUAUGUAUUAAAACAACGUCCGUCUCGUGUGUGUUACCGGGUACGAAUUAAUAAUAUGCGAGCGUAUAUCUACAUAAUAUUACUGCGAAUAUAUAGGUAUAGAGGUGUAUACCGGGGUUAUGUUAUAGUGCAGCAGUAUUAUACAUUAAUGCAUAAUAAUAAUAUGUUAAUCGCAUUACAUUACAAUAUUAUACUGUCGCGCUCGCCUUCACCUCGUCCCGCGUUUUAGUACUAUUCCACAGCGAACUUUUUAUUUCGAUUUUUUGUACACGUACUUACCCAAAUGAUAAUAGUAUGUAUAUUGCGCAGGACUCUGUGACCCCACACGGGUACGCAUUAUUAUUCGGACGCCGCCCGAACGUUAUUUAUAUCCACUGUCGUGUGCCGCACGUGCCUUAUAAUAUAUAUAUGUUAUAAUACCAUAUAUUAUAUACCAGUGUUCUGCCAUAGGUAUAUAAUAUACCUAUGUAAUUACCUAUGUACAAUGAAAUGGUACUGAGUAUAGUAAACUGCUGUAAACGCGACUGCAGUGACGCCGGCGCGACGGAGAAAAAUGACUCGAUCGACGACGAUCGUAUACAAUAUGGCCUCCGUUGCUCGGACGUGGCAUAUAUUAUUAUUAUAGACGUGGCCGGGUCGGCGAGGGGACGUACACCUCCCCACGAGGGAUCGCGUACAUGGUUAUUUAUUUAUUUUUCUCGUCAUUAAAUAAUGCUAUCGAUUAUACUUUUCUCGUUUUCAAUCAAUCGUGCAGAGCGCGUAAUGUUUUUUUCCGAGGGUCCAGGACAUAUACUACUGUAUGAAGGCAGCGACUAUAUAUAUAGCGAGUGACAAACGUCGCCGUAAAACGAGACGUAAUAUACGAUGUUUUGUUGUGUGUUAUAUUACACUAUAAUGUAUUAUAUUACAAAGUAUUCGCACUUUUUCACUCGUUUUACGACAGAAAGUCUCAAAACAUCGUAUGUUUUUUUUUUGUCACGUGCGGGCGAAUCUCACAACAAAGCGCGAAUCCUAAGCGUAUUAUUUAUAUGAUGUUAUAUAUGUAUGUGUCGUACGUGUGACAACGAUUUGAGGUGAGUUAUUAUAUUUGGUUACGAUACGAGACGUUAUAAAUUUCCGGUCGAUUUAUCGUCAUCGAAAAUGAUUUCUGCGAAAACUAAACGUGUGACAGAGUCGUGGUGCUCAAAACAAUUAGACUUGGUGCGUGGCGUUAGCAUAUUAUAAUAUUAUAUAAUUUACACAGCUGACGAGGGUGGAUUUAGGUGUGCCGACGGGGGCGCUUGCAUUAUCAUUCCAAUCUGAUGCACUCGGUUAUACUAUUAAUUUGCAGUUAUUCGAGCAGAUCAUCAGCAAACCUCUAGCCCGUAGAUUACUAAAAUGGACAUAUUAAUUUCCCAUCAUAAUUUGCAAAACUAAAACAAAAAAUAAUAGCACCCUCGCCUCGACGACAUCGUGGUCCUUAAAAAUCGUAUGAGACCGAAGCCCCUCAAAAAUUACAAUUUUAAAUUAGGCCUGUGUGCAGCGUGUACAUGAUAAUUUUACGCGAAUAUAAUACAUCUCGCUUGGCACGCGUAAUUUCGGUGUAUAUAAUAUUUUAGGACUGAUGAUCAGGCGCUAUGUUUUAUACACUCUCGCCACCGCACCUAAUUUGGACACAAAAUUUUGAUAUGAAACACAAUACACUUUAUUAUGGUGUAUAUUUUAUAAUAUAUUAACAUGACCAAGUUAACGUGUUUUUAAAACGUCAUUUUUUUUGUG
rnacentral:misc_RNA from 1 species